CGACAGACCCUGGGGGGGUGGGUACCCCUGGUUGGUCAAAUUGCACUGAAUGGGAUUUUCUACUUUUUCUUUAUGAUGCAAACCUCUACUCCACGCGGGGCAGGAUACCGUGCCCGGGGCUCAGAGCUGUCGAUGGAAUCAAUGGAACCAAGCAAACUCCCUUCUUGCCCCCGGAGGGGGGCUCAGGGUCCCCUGAGGGCUGUGAGGCGAAAAACUGGGGAUUUGGGGUCCGAGCUGUGCAGGGGCACGUGGAGCGCUCCGGGCAGCUGGUAGCUCAGAAGGGGGCCACCCUCUGGACCCAGAAAGGAAAGGAAGACUUGCAGAGGAAGACGCAUGCACGCCUCCGUCUCAGAAUCACAAGGACCCUGAGCCUCCUCACCUCCACCCAAGCCUCGCUCUACC
rnacentral:lncRNA from 12 species